GGAUUGGGGUUCAGUGGUUAGAGCAUCUGCUUCGCAUGCAGAAGAUCGCAGUCUUAAUCCCUGGAAUCUCCA